rnacentral:rRNA from 1 species
CAGCCGCCGCGGUAAUACGAAGGGUGCAAGCGUUACUCGGAAUUACUGGGCGUAAAGCGUGUGUAGGUGGUUGUUUAAGUCUGUCGUGAAAGCCCUGGGCUCAACCUGGGAAUUGCGAUGGAUACUGGGCGACUAGAGUGCGGUAGAGGAUAGUGGAAUUUCCGGUGUAGCAGUGAAAUGCGUAGAGAUCGGAAGGAACAUCUGUGGCGAAGGCGACUAUCUGGGCCAACACUGACACUGAGACACGAAAGCGUGGGGAGCAAACAGGAUUAGAUACCCGCGUAGUCCCUGUCUCUUAUAC